CCGAGGUCCGCCGCCGCGUGUGUGGAAGUUAUGGCUGCUUUUGUCUUUCGUUCACUCACUGAAAAGGCUAGGGCUUCUGGUGUUGGCACACCUUUGGCACCUGUUGCGACGCUGAGAAGCAAGGCUGCAGACUCCGUCUCAGGAGUAAUGGCAGGAUCCCUAAGCGUAACGGACCCGUGUGGCCACCGAUGAGAAGGUAGAUGAUGGACAUCUGCUUCAGGCGUGCUAAUAUAAAGUUAAGCUGUGAGAACGCGUGUCGAGCCAUGAGUCCAUUUCGGUUGGAGUUGGCUCCUGGAGACAUUGUCGGGCGUGGCACGUAAGGACCUUCUUGACGCUAUGCGUGCUAACAGCUUCUUCAUACAAUCACAGGGAUUGCCUGGAAGGAUUGGUCUGUUUGAUUAAGAGGUGCAGGCUGAGUCACGGGAGGAGAAGGAUGCAGGAUGCUGUAGCCGCCACACAGGCUUUUGCCCUGGAGUGUCCUGCUGUUGCUGGCCUUCAGUUUCCCAGAGUGUCAUCAAAGGGCCUUGGAGUUUGAUCUGCAAAAGCAGCCAGCAGAGUCAAGUGACUGCAGUCACCCCGGAAGCCUCUGGCAGCUAGCGAAUAUUGGAGGCACUUGGAGGGGAUGGGUGGCAUUUCUCACAGUGGAUUUCCUGAGAAGUCGGUGUUGAGCUUUCUAAUUUGAAGCACAAAUAAACUAUAAAAUUUAA